rnacentral:rRNA from 1 species
AACGAACGCUGGCGGCAUGCCUAACACAUGCAAGUCGAACGAAGCCUUCGGGCUUAGUGGCGCACGGGUGCGUAACGCGUGGGAAUCUGCCCUUAGGUACGGAAUAACUCAGGGAAACUUGUGCUAAUACCGUAUGAUGUCGAAAGACCAAAGAUUUAUCGCCUAGGGAUGAGCCCGCGUUGGAUUAGCUAGUUGGUGAGGUAAAGGCUCACCAAGGCGACGAUCCAUAGCUGGUCUGAGAGGAUGAUCAGCCACACUGGGACUGAGACACGGCCCAGACUCCUACGGGAGGCAGCAGUGGGGAUUUUGCACAAUGGGCGAAAGCCUGAUGCAGCGACACAGCGUGAAGGAUGAAGGUUUUCGGAUCGUAAACUUCUUUUAUCAGGGAGUAAUCUUGAAAGUACCUGAUGAAUAAGGACCGGCUAACUACGUGCCAGCAGCCGCCGUAA